CAGUCGAACGAAGCACUUUAACCUGAUUCUUCGGAUGAAGGUUUUUGUGACUGACUUGAGGACGGGUGAGUAACGCGUGGGUAACCUGCCUCAUACAGGGGGAUAACAGUUAGAAAUGACUGCUAAUACCGCAUAAGACCACGGAGCCGCAUGGCUCAGUGGGAAAAACUCCGGUGGUAUGAGAUGGACCCGCGUCUGAUUAGGUAGUUGGUGGGGUAACGGCCUACCAAGCCAACGAUCAGUAGCCGACCUGAGAGGGUGACCGGCCACAUUGGGACUGAGACACGGCCCAAACUCCUACGGGAGGCAGCAGUGGGGAAUAUUGCACAAUGGGGGAAACCCUGAUGCAGCGACGCCGCGUGAGCGAAGAAGUAUUUCGGUAUGUAAAGCUCUAUCAGCAGGGAAGAAAAUGACGGUACCUGACUAAGAAGCACCGGCUAAAUACGUGCCAGCAGCCGCGGUAAUACGUAUGGUGCAAGCGUUAUCCGGAUUUACUGGGUGUAAAGGGAGCGUAGACGGCUGUGUAAGUCUGAAGUGAAAGCCCGGGGCUCAACCCCGGGACUGCUUUGGAAACUAUGCAGCUAGAGUGUCGGAGAGGUAAGUGGAAUUCCCAGUGUAGCGGUGAAAUGCGUAGAUAUUGGGAGGAACACCAGUGGCGAAGGCGGCUUACUGGACGAUGACUGACGUUGAGGCUCGAAAGCGUGGGGAGCAAACAGGAUUAGAUACCCUGGUAGUCCACGCCGUAAACGAUGACUACUAGGUGUCGGGGAGCAAAGCUCUUCGGUGCCGCAGCAAACGCAAUAAGUAGUCCACCUGGGGAGUACGUUCGC
rnacentral:rRNA from 1 species